CCAAGUGCUGCAGCGCCGCAUAGACCCCUUUCGCCCACGCAAUGACCGGAUGUUAAUUUUACAUCCUGCAAUAGAUUACAAUCCUUGCAAUCUGGAAAGCUGCUGGUCUACUCAGACUACUGCUCUGUAACUCUUAAUCAGAUGUGCAAGUAUAGACUGACUACUUGGACAGUGCAGCUCAGUUUUGAGGUCUCCUCUGUUGAAUAUAUCUCAAUGUGGCCAUGCCAGACAACAAGCAUUACUGCAUUGAGGAUGAUAGCUACCAGAAAGUUCCAGUCAUGGAAGUCUAGCAAUAUGGGAACUCUAACUGCUGUCUAUCAUGUGAUCAUGAUAUGGUCAUGCAUUGUGAGCGUGCUGCAUGGUCACAUGAUGGAUUGGUUCGGGAAGUGCCCCUCUGUCUGACUAUCUGUGGAUGUGAGCAUGUGUCUACUGGAUAUGGAUUAAUUAUGGCUAGCUAGAUAAUGCAAUAUAGAAUGU